rnacentral:rRNA from 1 species
GAUGAACGCUGGCGGCGUGCCUAAUACAUGCAAGUCGAGCGAACGGACGAGAAGCUUGCUUCUCUGAUGUUAGCGGCGCACGGGUGAGUAACACGUGGAUAACCUACCUAUAAGACUGGGAUAACUUCGGGAAACCGGAGCUAAUACCGGAUGAUAUUUUGAACCGCAUGGUUCAAAAGUGAAAGACGGUCUUGCUGUCACUUAUAGAUGGAUCCGCGCUGCAUUAGCUAGUUGGUAAGGUAACGGCUCACCAAGGCAACGAUGCAUAGCCGACCUGAGAGGGUGAUCGGCCACACUGGAACUGAGACACGGUCCAGACUCCUACGGGAGGCAGCAGUAGGGAAUCUUCCGCAAUGGGCGAAAGCCUGACGGAGCAACGCCGCGUGAGUGAUGAAGGUCUUCGGAUCGUAAAACUCUGUUAUUAGGGAAGAACAUAUGUGUAAGUAACUGUGCACAUCUUGACGGUACCUAAUCAGAAAGCCACGGCUAACUACGUG